GCCGGUUUAGCUCAGUUGGUAGAGCAGCUGAUUUGUAAUCAGAUGGUCGCGGGUUCGAGUCCUGCAAUCGGCACCA
rnacentral:tRNA from 1 species